GCCAGUGUGGCCUAGUGGUUUGAGUGUUGGAUUACAACUCUGGAGACUAGAGUUCGAUUCCCUGCUCAGCCA
rnacentral:tRNA from 1 species